rnacentral:rRNA from 1 species
AGGAUGAACGCUGGCGGCGUGCCUAAUACAUGCAAGUCGAGCGGUAAGGCCACUUCGGUGGUACACGAGCGGCGGACGGCUGAGUAACACGUAGGAACGUACCCCAAAGUGAGGCAUAAGCACCAGAAAUGGUGUCUAAUACCGCAUGUGAUCUUCGGAUUAAAGCUUCGGCGCUUUGGGAACGGCCUGCGCAUGAUUAGCUUGUUGGUGAGGUAAUAGCUCACCAAGGCGACGAUCAUUAGCUGGUCUGAGAGGAUGACCAGCCAGACUGGGACUGAGAACGGCCCAGACUCCUACGGGAGGCAGCAGUAGGGAAUUUUCCACAAUGGGCGAAAGCCUGAUGGAGCAACGCCGCGUGCAGGAUGAAUGCCUUCGGGUUGUAACUGCUUUUAUCUGUGAAGAUUAUGACGGUAGCAGAUGAAUAAGGAUCGGCUAACGUACGCGCCAGCAGCCGCGGU